CUCCACAGUGGGCCCGGCAUGAGUUUGAAGAACUCUUCCGACUGUCUGCAGAGACCAUCAACCACCACCAACAGGCACACACUUCCCUGGCAGACAUGGAUGAGCCACAGACACUCACCUUACUGAAGCCAGUGCUUGGGGUCCUGAGAGUGCGUCCACAGAACUGGCAAGACUGUGUGGCGUGGGCUCUUGGCCACUGGAAACUCUGCUUUCAUUAUGGCAUCAAACAGCUGCUGAGGCACUUCCCACCUAAUAAAGUGUGUGGCUAGGGGUUGGGACGCUGGGGGCUCAGGGGGACCAGACUGAGCCCAGCAGCUUCUACUUACCUACCUAGGUGCUUGAGGAUGGAACUCCCUUCUGGUCAGGUCCCAAACAGUGUCCCCAGCCCUUGGAGUUUGACACCAACCAAGUGAGUGGGAUUCUGUAGGGAGCUCCAAGAUAGAGAUGUGGCCCCUCAGAGCAGAGGUAGGCAUUUCUGCAUUCUGCAGAGAUGCACAGAUGCCCAGAGAGAGCCAUGCUUGUGCAUAUAUGGGUGUCUACAUGUGAGGCAAAGGCAGGCACUCAAACAGAUCCACAAAUGGACAGUGACCCCCACCCCAUGCACCCAUACAUGGGUGCUCACUCGCACCCAUGCCUCUG
rnacentral:sRNA from 1 species